rnacentral:rRNA from 1 species
CGAUAACGAACGAGACCUUAACCUGCUAAAUAGUUACGUCAUUUUCGAAUGACGGCGAACUUCUUAGAGGGACUAUCGGAUUUAAACCGAUGGAAGUUUGAGGCAAUAACAGGUCUGUGAUGCCCUUAGAUGUUCUGGGCCGCACGCGCGCUACACUGACGAAGUCAGCGAGUAUUCUCCUUCACCGGAAGGUGUGGGUAAUCUUGUGAAACUUCGUCGUGCUGGGGAUAGAUCAUUGCAAUUAUUGAUCUUCAACGAGGAAUUCUUAGUAAGCGUGAGUCAUCAGCUCGCGUUGAUUACGUCCCUGCCCUUUGUACACACCGCCCGUCGCUACUACCGAUUGAAUGGCU